AUGAACGCUAGCUACAGGCUUAACACAUGCAAGUCGAGGGGCAUCAGGAAGAAAGCUUGCUUUCUUUGCUGGCGACCGGCGCACGGGUGAGUAACACGUAUCCAACCUGCCCUUUACUCGGGGAUAGCCUUUCGAAAGAAAGAUUAAUACCCGAUAGCAUAAUGAUUCCGCAUGGUUUCAUUAUUAAAGGAUUCCGGUAAAGGAUGGGGAUGCGUUCCAUUAGGUUGUUGGUGAGGUAACGGCUCACCAAGCCUUCGAUGGAUAGGGGUUCUGAGAGGAAGGUCCCCCACAUUGGAACUGAGACACGGUCCAAACUCCUACGGGAGGCAGCAGUGAGGAAUAUUGGUCAAUGGGCGCUAGCCUGAACCAGCCAAGUAGCGUGAAGGAUGAAGGCUCUAUGGGUCGUAAACUUCUUUUAUAUAAGAAUAAAGUGCAGUAUGUAUACUGUUUUGUAUGUAUUAUAUGAAUAAGGAUCGGCUAACUCCGUGCCAGCAGCCGCGGUAAUACGGAGGAUCCGAGCGUUAUCCGGAUUUAUUGGGUUUAAAGGGAGCGUAGGUGGACUGGUAAGUCAGUUGUGAAAGUUUGCGGCUCAACCGUAAAAUUGCAGUUGAUACUGUCAGUCUUGAGUACAGUAGAGGUGGGCGGAAUUCGUGGUGUAGCGGUGAAAUGCUUAGAUAUCACGAAGAACUCCGAUUGCGAAGGCAGCUCACUGGACUGCAACUGACACUGAUGCUCGAAAGUGUGGGUAUCAAACAGGAUUAGAUACCCUGGUAGUCCACACAGUAAACGAUGAAUACUCGCUGUUUGCGAUAUACAGUAAGCGGCCAAGCGAAAGCAUUAAGUAUUCCACCUGGGGAGUACGCCGGCAACGGUGAAACUCAAAGGAAUUGACGGGGGCCCGCACAAGCGGAGGAACAUGUGGUUUAAUUCGAUGAUACGCGAGGAACCUUACCCGGGCUUAAAUUGCAGUGGAAUGAUGUGGAAACAUGUCAGUGAGCAAUCACCGCUGUGAAGGUGCUGCAUGGUUGUCGUCAGCUCGUGCCGUGAGGUGUCGGCUUAAGUGCCAUAACGAGCGCAACCCUUAUCUUUAGUUACUAACAGGUCAUGCUGAGGACUCUAGAGAGACUGCCGUCGUAAGAUGUGAGGAAGGUGGGGAUGACGUCAAAUCAGCACGGCCCUUACGUCCGGGGCUACACACGUGUUACAAUGGGGGGUACAGAAGGCAGCUAGCGGGUGACCGUAUGCUAAUCCCAAAAUCCUCUCUCAGUUCGGAUCGAAGACUGCAACCCGACUUCGUGAAGCUGGAUUCGCUAGUAAUCGCGCAUCAGCCACGGCGCGGUGAAUACGUUCCCGGGCCUUGUACACACCGCCCGUCAAGCCAUGGGAGCCGGGGGUACCUGAAGUACGUAACCGCAAGGAUCGUCCUAGGGUAAAACUGGUGACUGGGGCU
rnacentral:rRNA from 1 species